rnacentral:rRNA from 1 species
UACAGAGGGUGCAAGCGUUGUUCGGAAUUAUUGGGCGUAAAGGGCGCGUAGGCGGUGCGGUAAGUCUGUAGUGAAAUCUCUGGGCUCAACUCAGAGUCUGCUAUAGAAACUGCAGUGCUGGAGUGUGGGAGAGGUGAGUGGAAUUCCCGGUGUAGCGGUGAAAUGCGCAGAUAUCAGGAAGAACACCCGUGGCGAAGGCGGCUCUCUGGGACGGUACUGACGCUGAGACGCGAAAGCGUGGGGAGCGAACAGG